rnacentral:rRNA from 1 species
AGUGAACGCUGGCGGCGUGGAUCAGGCAUGCAAGUCGAACGAUCCAGCAAUGGAUAGUGGCAAAAGGGCGAGUAAUACGUGAGUAAUCUACCCUCAGGUGGGGAACAACCUUGGGAAACCGAGGCUAAAACCGCAUAAGACCACGACCUGGCAUCAGGUUGUGAUCAAAAGUGGGGACCGCAAGGCCCAUUACCGGAGGAUGAGCUCGCGUCCUAUCAGCUUGUUGGUAGGUAACGGCCUACCAAGGCUUUGACGGGUAGCUGGUCUGAGAGGAUGGUCAGCCGCAUUGGGGACUGAGACACUGCCCAGACUCCUACGGGAGGCAG